GAUGAACGCUGGCGGCGUGCUUAACACAUGCAAGUCGAGCGAGAAGUUUUAAACGGAUUCUUCGGAUGAAAGAUAAAACGGAAAGCGGCGGACGGGUGAGUAACGCGUAGGCAACCUGCCUCAUACAAAGGGAUAGCAUCUGGAAAACGGNUAUUAAUACCUUAUAAAUACCCUUAGGGUUCACAUGGGACCAUAGGUCAAAAGAUUUUAUCGGGUAUGAGAUGGGCCUGCGUCUGAUUAGCUAGUUGGUAGGGUAACGGCCUACCAAGGCGACGAUCAGUAGCCGACCUGAGAGGGUGAUCGGCCACACUGGAACUGAGACACGGUCCAGACU
rnacentral:rRNA from 1 species